GACGAACGCUGGCGGCGUGCUUAACACAUGCAAGUCGAACGGAAAGGCCUCUUCGGAGGUACUCGAGUGGCGAACGGGUGAGUAACACGUGGGUGAUCUGCCCUGCACUCUGGGAUAAGCCUGGGAAACUGGGUCUAAUACCGGAUAGGACCAUGCUUUAGUGUGUGUGGUGGAAAGUUUUUUCGGUGUAGGAUGAGCCCGCGGCCUAUCAGCUUGUUGGUGGGGUAAUGGCCUACCAAGGCGGCGACGGGUAGCCGGACUGAGAGGUUGGUCGGCCACAUUGGGACUGAGAUACGGCCCAUACUCCUACGGGAGGCAGCAGUGGGGAAUAUUGCACAAUGGGCGCAAGCCUGAUGCAGCGACGCCGCGUGGGGGAUGACGGCCUUCGGGUUGUAAACUCCUUUCGCCAGGGACGAAGCGUUUUGUGACGGUACCUGGAGAAGAAGCACCGGCUAACUACGUGCCAGCAGCCGCGGUAAUACGUACGGUGCAAGCGUUGUCCGGAAUUACUGGGCGUAAAGAGCUCGUAGGUGGUUUGUCACGUCAUCUGUGACAUUCCACAACUUAACUGUGGGCGUGCAGGCGAUACGGGCUGACUUGGGUCCGGUAGGGGAGGGUGGAACACCCGGUGUAGCGGUGGAAUGCGCAGAUAUCGGGUGGAACACCGGUGGCGAAGGCGGCCCUCUGGGCCGAGACCGACGCUGAGGCGCGAAAGCUGGGGGAGCGAACAGGAUUAGAUACCCUGGUAGUCCCAGCCGUAAACGAUGGACGCUAGGUGUGGGGGGACGAUCCCCCCGUGCCGCAGCCAACGCAUUAAGCGUCCCGCCUGGGGAGUACGGCCGCAAGGCUAAAACUCAAAGGAAUUGACGGGGGCCCGCACAAGCAGCGGAGCAUGUGGCUUAAUUCGAAGCAACGCGAAGAACCUUACCAGGGCUUGACAUAUGGGUGAAGCGGGGGAGACCCCGUGGCCGAGAGGAGCCCAUACAGGUGGUGCAUGGCUGUCGUCAGCUCGUGUCGUGAGAUGUUGGGUUAAGUCCCGCAACGAGCGCAACCCCCGCCGCGUGUUGCCAUCGGGUGAUGCCGGGAACCCACGCGGGACCGCCGCCGUCGAGGCGGAGGAGGGCGGGGACGACGUCAAGUCAUCAUGCCCCUUAUGCCCUGGGCUGCACACGUGCUACAAUGGCCGGUACAGAAAGAUGCCACCCCGCGAGGGGGAGCGGAUCCCGGAAAGCCCGCCCCCGUUCGGAUUGGGGGCUGCAACCCGCCCCCAUGAAGUCGGAGUUGCUAGUAAUCGCGGAUCAGCAUGGCGCGGUGAAUGCCUUCCCGGGCCU
rnacentral:rRNA from 1 species